GACGAACGCUGGCGGCGUGCUUAACACAUGCAAGUCGAACGGAAAGGCCCUGCUUUUGUGGGGUGCUCGAGUGGCGAACGGGUGAGUAACACGUGAGUAACCUGCCCUUGACUUUGGGAUAACUUCAGGAAACUGGGGCUAAUACCGGAUAGGAGCUCCUGCUGCAUGGUGGGGGUUGGAAAGUUUCGGCGGUUGGGGAUGGACUCGCGGCUUAUCAGCUUGUUGGUGGGGUAGUGGCUUACCAAGGCUUUGACGGGUAGCCGGCCUGAGAGGGUGGCCGGCCACAUUGGGACUGAGAUACGGCCCAGACUCCCACGGGAGGCAGCAGUGGGGAAUAUUGCACAAUGGGCGGAAGCCUGAUGCAGCAACGCCGCGUGCGGGAUGACGGCCUUCGGGUUGUAAACCGCUUUCGCCUGUGACGAAGCGUGAGUGACGGUAAUGGGUAAAGAAGCACCGGCUAACUACGUGCCAGCAGCCGCGGUGAUACGUAGGGUGCGAGCGUUGUCCGGAUUUAUUGGGCGUAAAGGGCUCGUAGGUGGUUGAUCGCGUCGGAAGUGUAAUCUUGGGGCUUAACCCUGAGCGUGCUUUCGAUACGGGUUGACUUGAGGAAGGUAGGGGAGAAUGGAAUUCCUGGUGGAGCGGUGGAAUGCGCAGAUAUCAGGAGGAACACCAGUGGCGAAGGCGGUUCUCUGGGCCUUUCCUGACGCUGAGGAGCGAAAGCGUGGGGAGCGAACAGGCUUAGAUACCCUGGUAGUCCACGCUGUAAACGGUGGGUACUAGGUGUGGGGUCCAUUCCACGGGUUCCGUGCCGUAGCUAACGCUUUAAGUACCCCGCCUGGGGAGUACGGCCGCAAGGCUAAAACUCAAAGGAAUUGACGGGGCCCCGCACAAGCGGCGGAGCAUGCGGAUUAAUUCGAUGCAACGCGUAGAACCUUACCUGGGUUUGACAUGGAUCGGGAGUGCUCAGAGAUGGGUGUGCCUCUUUUGGGGUCGGUUCACAGGUGGUGCAUGGCUGUCGUCAGCUCGUGUCGUGAGAUGUUGGGUUAAGUCCCGCAACGAGCGCAACCCUUGUUCACUGUUGCCAGCACGUUAUGGUGGGGACUCAGUGGAGACCGCCGGGGUCAACUCGGAGGAAGGUGGGGAUGACGUCAAGUCAUCAUGCCCCUUAUGUCCAGGGCUUCACGCAUGCUACAAUGGCUGGUACAGAGAGUGGCGAGCCUGUGAGGGUGAGCGAAUCUCGGAAAGCCGGUCUCAGUUCGGAUUGGGGUCUGCAACUCGACCUCAUGAAGUCGGAGUCGCUAGUAAUCGCAGAUCAGCAACGCUGCGGUGAAUACGUUCCCGGGGCU
rnacentral:rRNA from 1 species